UCCAUCAUACUUUAUAAGAUACAGGGAAGG
rnacentral:piRNA from 1 species